AUGGUCAUAUCACGUUGAAACAUCGGAUUUCGUAUGGUCAUCGAAGUUAAGCAACGUCGAGCCUGAUUAGUAACUAUAUGGGUGACCGCUUGGUAAUAGCAAGUGUUGUAAGC